rnacentral:tRNA from 1 species
GCCUGGGUGGCUUAGUCGGUUAAGCAUCUGACUCCUGGUUGGAGCUCCGGUCAUGAUCUCAUGGUUCGUGGGUUCCAGCCCCAUGUCAGGCU